rnacentral:tRNA from 1 species
CGGGGUGUAGCGCAGCUGGAAGCGCGCUGGCAUCGGGAGCCAGAGGUCGUGGGUUCAAAUCCCGCCACCCCGACUA